ensembl:ncRNA ZK973.23 ncRNA
GAAUACAAAAAAUCGGUAAAAGCAUCUUCAGGUGGCGGGCGGGAGAGGAGACAAUUAAGCGCGCAUCGAAAAACGAAAAAGGGUGACCUUGAUUGUGUUGAAAUGCAAACAGUUUUGAUAAACA